rnacentral:rRNA from 1 species
UACGGAGGGGGCUAGCGUUGUUCGGAAUUACUGGGCGUAAAGCGCGCGUAGGCGGCUUUGUAAGUAAGAGGUGAAAGCCCAGAGCUCAACUCUGGAAUUGCCUUUUAGACUGCAUCGCUUGAAUCAUGGAGAGGUCAGUGGAAUUCCGAGUGUAGAGGUGAAAUUCGUAGAUAUUCGGAAGAACACCAGUGGCGAAGGCGGCUGACUGGACAUGUAUUGACGCUGAGGUGCGAAAGCGUGGGGAGCAAACAGG